UGGAAAUUGCUUUAGGAACCUGAGCCUCCUAAAAGAAAACCUAAGUCUGAGAAAACCUAGACCUAGGGUACAACCACCCUAGAUCUACCCUUAGGGCACAACCACCCUUCUUCAACUAGAGACUUUCUGGUGAACAUCCCGAUCAGAGAAACAAAAGAGGACCGGUUCUGAUACAGGCGAGCCCUAGAAUGCACAGAAGUCUAGGGCCAUCCGGCCCUGUUCGGUAUGAUUUUCUUCCAUUUUAUCUAUUUUUCUUUAAUUUUUUUUAUUUCAUUUGAUCUUUUCAGUUGCUUAAAAAGCGUAUUUUGUGUUUUCUUGGAUCAUGUUGGCACUACCACAGAUUUGAGAAUAGAUCUGCUCGAUUUCGGGCAGAUCUGGCCUCAGAUCUGAAUUUGAUUUGUCUCACUUUCUUUGCCAUUUGGUUUACAUUAUUUUUAUCAGUUUAAGGUGUCAAGAUCCGAGAGAUCUUCCGACAAAGAUCUGUUUGAUUUUGCUUUGUAAACAAGCCUUACUCCAUAGGCUUAUGUGAAGCCCUUUCAACUAACCUAGCCAUGUGCCUUUCUAUGGUUCCAUCGAUAUUGUACUUAAUUUUAAAUACCCACUUGCAAACAACAUAUUUUUUUCCAUUAGGGAGUUGAACAAGAUCCCAAGUUUGAUUCGUGUUUAAGGCUUGUAAUUCUUCUUUCAUGGCCAUUUUUCACAACCGUUGUUAAUUAGCAUCAUGAAAGUUUGUUGGCUCAAAAGUGGAAAUAGAACUGAGAAAGUUGCAAUAUUUAGAUGAGAUAUUUCAUAACAAAUUUGAAGGAUGCAAACAACAUGAAAAGUAAUAAAAUCUUUUAAGGAAGAAGGGGGUUAAGAAAUACGAGAAGACCUUCGAAGAGCAGAAGCUUGAGCAGGGAGAUUGUCCACAUGGACAUCUUCUUGAGUAACCUCUUCAUUUUCACCAACCUGAUUAGCUUCUCCCUCACUUUCUUCUUAUUGGAUUUCCUCUCUUCUUUCGUCAGCAUAAUGGUUUUCAGUUCUAAUUUUUUCUUUAUUUUCUUGCGUCUCAAAAAUAUUACUAGGAAUGGGCAAUGGAAGUUUGCGUAAAUUCUCCCCUUGAAUCCUAUUUUAUUGGGAUUUUUGAAAAUAUGAUUCUCUUUCAUCAAAUUUAACAUCUCGUGAGAUGUGCAAUUUUUUGGUUGUAGGAUUGUAGCAUUUGUAUCACUUUUUUGUGGAAAAAGAUCCAAGAAAUAUGCACUCAGUAGCCCUAGGAUCAAGUUUAUCCCGGUGUUGAUCAAUAUUAUAUACAUAACAAAUGUAGCCAAACACACGUAAGUGAGACAAGUCAAUGUUAUUUCCUUUUAAUAACUUAAGAGGAGACUUAUUCCUGAGAAUUUUCCUAGGAAGUAGAUUAACAAGGUAACAAGCGGAUAGGACCGCAUCAGACCAAUAAAAUUUUAGUGCAUUCAUUUCAAAUAAUAGAGGUCUGGUAACUUCAAGAAUAUGAUGGUUUUUCCUUUCUGACACACCAUUUUGUUGUGGUGUUCCAAUGUAAGAUGUCUGAUGUAUAAUGCCAUUAUGAGAGAAAUAUUUUGUGAAUACAUUAUUCACAUACUCUGUUCCAUUGUCUGGGUGAAAAAUCCUAAUUUUGGCAUUAUACUGAUUUGAUACAAGAUUAUGAAAUUCUUUAAACAUAGGGAAAACCUCAUUUUUAGCUUUUAACAUAUAUAUCUAGGUGCCACGAGUAUAAUCAUCUGUAAAUGUCACAAAAUAUUUGUAGCCACUAUAGGAUUCAACAAGGGCUGGUCCCCACGCAUCAGAAUGUAUCAAGUAAAAAAGCUCAUCAUAAUCAUGUAUUGAAGAUUUAAAAAGUAACCUAGGAAACUUGGAAUAUUUGCAAACCUCACAAUUAUGAAAUCUUGGAGUUAAGUUUGACAUCAAAAUUUUCAAAACAUUUUUAGAGGGAUGUCCAACUCUAGAGGGAUGUCCAACUCUAGAGGGCCAUAAUCUACCAAUAUUACCAUUAUUAAUUUUUGCAAUCAUAGCAUAAUUCUUUUGAACCCAAAAGUAAAGACCAUGAUCCAUUUUCCCUUCACCAAUCUUCAUCCCUGUGGCCCGGUCUUGAAAGAUAGCAGAAUGAGGAGAAAAAAUAAUAUCACAAUUCAAAUUUUGAGUUAGUUUGCUAACCAACAAUAGGUUGAGAGGAAAAGAAGGCAAAUAAAGAACCUCAGAAUUGUGGGUUUCAGAAAAGAAAUUUGUUCUUCUAAUGCCAUGAAUAGGAAUUAAAGAACCAUUGACAAUUGAUACAGGAGUUUUAUUGACCACCUGUUGAAUCUGAGAUAGGUAAGAAGGAUUGCCUAUCAUGUGGUUGAUUUCUCUUGAAUCAAUAACCCAAGUAUUAAAACUCAAGGAAGACAGGAAGGUACACUGAUUACCUUGAUCAGAGGAGAUAUCAUGAGAAGAGAAUGCAUCAUUCUUAUCCAAUUGUUGAAGAAUUUGGGUAAGUUUAUCAAUGGAAAUAUGAGAAUUGGCAGAAGCACUCUGAGCCAACGACCUUCAGAAGACUUGUCACGUGUAGGUUUAAGAUGAGGAUAGAGGACUCAACACCUAUCCUUUAUGUGGUCAAGACCUUUGCAAUGCUCACAACAAGAAGGUGGUCUUCCUCCAUUUCCACGAUCCCUUCUUCUGCCAUGAUAUCCUCCUAGAGAUCUCCCUUCAAAGUUUGUAUUCGCAGGUUUUUUAUUUAUUUCAGUUUUCUCUUUAACGACAGUUAUAACAUAUUUCUCACUACUCCUAGCUUCACUUUUUACUUUAACAUUCAUCACUCUUUUCCUAGUUUCUUCGUGUAAUAUUGUAGAAAAACUGAUGAGAAGCUGGGCAGUUCAGAUUACAUCAAAAUUUGGAUCCUUACUUGCUCAAAUCAGGUUUGAGAGCAACAAGAAAUUGAAAGAUCUUAUCCUGAUAAGCUCUCUUUUGAAUAGUGAAAAUAUCACUAGUAGCAAGGCAAUAUGUAGAUAAUUCAUCUCACAUAGGUUUUAAAAUACCCAACAAUUCAGUAGCGGUCUUAUUCUCUUGCUUGGUUUGGUAUAUCUCUUGUUUUAAUUCAAAUAUUCGAGUGAUAUUGUUUUGUUGUCCAUAAACUUCUUUUAUGGAAUCCCAUAGAUCCUUAGCAUUCUUGGCAUGAGUAAAUAUCUUUGUAAUCUUAGGAUCCAUUGAGUUUAAUAUCCAUGACAUUGUAAGUUGAUCAUCUAUUUCCCAUUCUUCGUACUCAGGGUCAUCACUACUCGGAGCCUUUUUCUUAUCGUUCAUAUGCUCAAGUUUUGAUUGACCCAGACAACCAAGAGCAAGAGAGACGGCUCUGGCCUAGAAUAAAUAAUUUAAACCAUUGAAGAGUGCCGAAGUUAAUUUCAUAGAGGUGUUACUUUCGGAUUCAUGCACCACAGUUUAACAGGUUCUGCUUUAUUCUUUUCAGCCAUGAUAUGAAAAAGAAACAAAUAAAGUGUGAAUAGCCACAUACCAGUCAAAAAUGACAACCGUUUUUUAAGAGAAAACUACAAAAAAACAAGCUUCUGACUGAAGUCACCGAAAUGGAGCUUCACAUGCUGAACGUACCAACAAUAACAAAAAGAGAUCAACGAGAUAGAGAGUUCAAAGUUCUGCACCCCACUUUCACCCCUACGUAGAAUCACAACGGACUCAACUUGGGAAAAAGAAGAAGAGGAAAUCAGGUUUGCAACACCAUGAAGAACUUGCACCAUUGUCAAAGGGGUUUGCACCAGGUUUGCAUCAGGGAGUUGUGCUUUUGCACAGAAAAAAGCUUGCACCAAGGAUUUGUCUUUUGCACAAUAAAAAACAUUGCACCAAGGACUUGUCUUUUGCGCAGUAAAAAACUUGAAAAAAUCUUGCAUCGCCAAAAGGCAACGCAAACAGCAGAUAGCAAAAACGACAAAUCAGUUGUUCUAAAACAACUCAGAAAGGUAGGCACUGCACACAAUGAAAAGUGUUUUACAGAGAGUCGAAAAUAUGACUCAACAAAAGAUCUCAGAUUGGGUUCAUAAUUUAACAGUAGGUCUUAAAAAAUCUUAUGCUCUGAUACCAUGUUAGAAAAUAGAACUAAAAAAAAGAUAGACACAUAUCAAUAGAGACAUAUACGUGAUUCGGUUGUUCAGUCUACAUCCACGAAAGAGGAACCACCAUAUUUUCAUUCAUAGGAUUACAAUAAUUCCUCAUCCUGAUACAGGAUAAACAUGAGUAAAAAAAAAAAUCCCAUGAUACAAGCCUAAAAUAAUGAAGGAUCCUGUAAAUAGGGUAAUUAUGGCACAACUGGAUAAGGAAAGAAUCAAAGGCACCGAUGAAGCGUAGCUGUCAUGGCUGGCAUGGCUGAUAUCCUUCCGCAAUAUUCUCUACAAUAAUAGAGCUUGGGAAACAUGAGUGGGGCUAAAUUACUUAAAUGCAUCUACUUAUUCAGAGCUCCCAUUCAUUUUUAAAGGCGAUUCAAACAUUUUUUAAUAUAUUGUUUAAGGAAAUACUGAGUGAUAUGAAGUUCGUAAAGCAACCCUCUCAUUGUAAAAUGGAACGACAUCACCAAAUUAAUCUAAUCUUUCCUUUCUUUAAAAGGGAUAGAUUUUGGUGUUCCAGGGUGCUCAUAAACCUUCUAUGAGUUUUUCUUUUAAGGUUAUUGGUUAACAUGAGUACCUCUGCGACAUGCAAAUACGUUCUGCCACUGCCUCAACAUGGAGGAAUUUUUUUUGGGUGAAAUUAUUCAUGGAUGCUUGAGGAUUCAAUAACUACCCUUUGCAAUUCAUUUCUAUUAUAGAAAAAUAUAUUUGUAGUUCCUAAAAUUAGCCGACCCUAAAUAAUAGGAAAAAUACUUUGAUGUUAAAAUAGUGUAGAAUCGAAUGCUCCAAGGUCCAUUGUAAUAAACGACCAAAUUAUGGCAUUCAAAGAUAAUGCAUAUAUUGAACUGCAAAUCAUCUCUUUUCUCCAUUCAUAUGGUCUACAUGAGAAAGCAAAUUAGAUUUAGAAAAAAUACCACCAUACACCCUAAUUCGGUGUACCAUUUCCCAUUAGACCAAUAAAUUUUAAAACUUUCCAACAACAUAAAAUUUUCACAAAAGAUAUAUUCUAACCGCCUAAAUCCAGUUGUCAUUCUUUUAUCAUACUUUUUUGUCCCAAACAAUAUAAAAAAAUACGACUCUCUUUCUCUCUGUUUUAUUACCGUCUUUUUUUCUUUUCUCUUUCUCUCUCCCUGUCUCUCAUAAUCCCUCUCUCUAGCUUUCUCGUACUCUCACCUCUCUCCCCUAAAAGUGGCCCUCUCUCUCUUCUCUUCUCUAAACCCUCUCCUCUCUCGCAUCUCUUCUUAACCUUUUCCCUCUCUCUCGCCUCUCUCCUCCAAACCCUCUUUCUCUCUCUCUUACCUCUCACCCCAACCCCUCGUUCUCUUUCUCUUGACUUUCUCCCCCAAACUCUUUCUCUCUCUCGCUCUCUCUCUUGCCUCUCUUCUCUCUUCAAACUACAGGAGAAAGAUCAGGUCUCUCUCGUUGGCUCCUCAUUGCUUCAAAUUAUUCAGCCCUCAUUUUAAGUUCCAUCUCUACAAGCAUGCUUUCAUGGUUUACUUCAUGCAUGGUGACCCAAGUAGAUAGCUCUCAACUUGGGUGGAAUCAAUUGACAUUCCCUUACUCCUUAUAUCCAUAUGUCUCUCUCUCCUCAUUGGCUAAUCUCCGAGGUUUUUCUCUCUCUUCCCAUCAAAACUCCACUAUGCCUGCUUUGCUCUUGGACUUCAUAUGCAUUAGUAAUGGAGAUGGUAUUGAUUAUGAGCAUUUUGGCAACUCUAUUCACCAUAAUUGGGAUGGUUGGUGAUGAUGCUUCUAGAGGGAUGUGAGAGGAUGCAAAGGGUAAGUUCCGAUUAGGGCGAUUAAGUUACGUUUUGAUGGUGGCUGUAGUGCGAUUUCAUGACAAUUUUGCUUUAUGGCCAUCAUUGGCCUCAUAUUUCUUACUACUUUCAUGUGUGGGAUUUGCAUGAAUGCUUUGCUGCCCCUGAUGGGGGGAACAGGUUUGGGGGAGGGGGGGGAAGAGAGAGAGAGAGAGGGUUUGGGGAAGAGGUAUGUGAGAGAGAGAGGGAGAGGGUUUCGGGAAGAGAGGAGAGAGAGAGAGUGUGUGUGUUGGGAGUUGCCAAAGUUUUCAAAUUGAAAUUCAAAUCUUGAAUUUCAGAUCUUCUAUUGUUGUAUAUUCUAAUUGAAUAGGAUAAGCAUUGUACAUUUUCUAUUUUUAUUAGAUAGAUCCCUAUAAUCAAGGGAUUGCAACCUCUUGUAUUCUCUUGUAUUCUCUACAAAUACCCUACAUAUGGGUAAUAUAAAAGACAAAGAAUGCUUCCAUUCAAAUUGCUUUAGAACUUGACAUGGUAUCAGAGUGUUUACUUUUUCUAUAUACUGAUUCUAUCACUCUUAUCUUGAUGUAAAGCUUUGCUAGCAACCUUUACCAUUGGUUAAUCGUAGAGCACCUAAUGAUUCGGAGGUUUUCUCAUAUUUUUCGUACUGAGGUUGAUCUUUCUUGAUAGCUUUUGCAUGCUUCUUUUUAAUCGCUUUUGCUUGCAUUCAUUAGUGGUUACAAAUCAUAUUUUCUUGGGUGCUCUGUUUGUUUGUGUUUUUGCUUGUGCAAUUUUUUUUCUACCUUCUCAAUAGAAAGCUUGCAUCUCUUUCUCCCUACCUUUGCCUAUCGAUGUUUGCAUCUUUUUUUAUCUCAUGUGCAAAUAUUGAAAACUCUCUCUCUAAGUAACAACCUUUACUAGUUUACCUAUCAAAUUGUUCUCUCUUACUGAUUUUAGAAAGUUUGCCUCUAUCCUUCUCUAUCUUUACAUGUCUAAUUGAUUUUUGGCCAGAUUUUUGUUUCUUCUCACUGUUUGAUGUAAAAAUUUCCUAUGAUUUUUUGGCAUUUUUUAUUUUUCAGCAAUUGCUGCGUUUCAUUUUUAUGCUGGGUUUUGGUCAGAGGUUUUGUUCCCUCACUACUGUUUUGGUCUAGCAUGAUAUCACACGCCCUACAAACUUCAAAGACACCGAGCACUUCCUCUUUCUUCAAAGUUUUGUGAGCUAUGAAUGAUAACAACACUACCAUGGAUUCUUCGUUUGAAAACCAAACUCCUUAUGGUACCGAUUUUACUAGUAUUCAAUCCCCUUAUUUUUUACAUCAUUCACGACAAUCCAAGGACUAUUCUUGUUUCGCAUCCUCUCACAGGGGUAGGAAAAAUUUAUUCUACUUAGGCUCGUGCCAUGCGCAUGGCCCUAAGUGCCAAAAAUAAGCUAGCCUUUAUUGAUGGAGCUCAAUCUAAACUAGAGUCUUCUUCUCCAUCUUUUCCUUUAUGGGAGAGAUGUAGUGUCUUGAAAUUGUCUUGGUUUCUUAAUGCCUUGUCAAAAUAUCUCGCAAAAAGUGUUGUGUUUGCCUCUACAACACUUGGAAGUGUGGACUGAUCAGCGAGAUCAUUUUUCACCAAGCAAUGGCCCACAACUUUACUAAAUCAAGAAAUUUUUAGCCACCUUCCAACAAAAGUAAUUCUCAGUUGCCUCUUACUUCACACAAUUAAAGAACAAAUGGGAUUAGCUAGCUUCUCUCCCUUCUUCUACCCCAGGCACUUAUAAAUCGUAAUAAUUAUAUACAACAAUAAUGACUUCUUCAAUUUUUGAUGGGUCUCAAUGAGUUCUAGGUCGUGGUGCAUAGUGACAUUUUACUCAUGGAUCCACUACCAAUUGUUGCCAAAGCCUACUCCCUUGUUCUUCAAGAAGAACGACACCGUAAGAUCAAUUUACAUAUCCCUACACUAAAAGCUACAACCUUUACUAUGAUUCAGUCUCAUCCAUUUGCAAAACCUACUGCAAACUAUAAUACUACCCAAAAAACCUCCAAGACUGGUACACGCCCCUUGCUUCAUUGUGAUUAUUGUCACAAAGAUGGUCACAUGACGGAUCGAUGUUUCAAACUCGUGGGCUAUCCAAAAUGCCAAAACAUGCCUUGUGCCUGCAAUGUUGUAUCCAUUGCGGUUCAUUCAAGAAAGAGUGUCAGAAACUCAAGAAAUAGUAGAAUGAGAACAAUGCCAAGGAUGAUGGCAGGCAAACCGGUACAUUGACCACAGAGUUGGCAUGGUUGAAAACUAUGGUGAUAGGUACUUUAAUAUUGCAUCAAGUUCAUGCAACUCUGACUGUGUUGUAGAUACUGCAUCAUUAUUUCAUGUUACUUUACAUAUAUGUUAUUUUUCUUCUUAUAGAGCAGAAGACUUUGACUUUGUAAAGAUAAGGAACAAUGGUUUCUCAAAGAUUGUGGGUAAGAGAGAUAGAUGAAUAUAGUGCAACAAGAUGUCAGACAUUUAUCAAAUAACCAUUUGAACCUCAUCUCAGGAGGGUGUUUAGAUGAUGAAGUGUAUCAUUCAAUAUUCUGUAAGGGAUACUAGAAGCCAAUGAAGGGAUCUCUUAUCACGGUGAAGGGCAAGAAGUGUUGUUCACUCUACAUAUCAGAGGUGCAAAUCUCUAAUGACAAAAUUAAUACUGCCAUGGAGAACCCUCUCUAGACCUAUGGCACAAGCAUCUUAGCUAAGAAGCAUAUCAUUCCCAAUGUCAAGAAUCCAUCUCUGAUUCCAUGUGACCAUUGUUUGUGAGAGAAACAACAUAGAGUCUCUUUCUCUAGUAAGAGCUCUAAAGAUAAGAAAAUAAUAGAUCUAAUGUAUUCAAAUGUGUGUGGCCCCAUGGAUAUGAAGUUGCUUGGUGGUACAUAAUACUUUGUCACCUUUAUCAGUAAUGCUUCAAGUAAGGGGUGGGUGAACUUAGUGAAAUCAAAAGAUCAGGUGUUUGAUAUCUUUUAGAAUUUCCAUGCUAAGGUGGAAAUGGAGAUAGGCAAGCUUUUGAAAUGUUUCGGAUCAGACAAUGGUGGGGGGUUACACCUUAAAUGCUUUCAAAAGUUAAUAUGUCAAGUGUGGUACAAGGCAAGAAAAGAUAGUGCCAUAUACGCCUAGCAUAAUGGUGUAGCGGAGAGAAUGAAUUACACCGUUAUGGAAGGAGUUAGGAGCAUGCUAUCCACCACCAAGUUACCAAGCUAUAUUAGGGUGAAGCGGUCCUUACAACAUGCAACCUAAUAAAUAAAUUCCUAUCAUUUUCUUUUGGAUGGUGAGAUCCCAGGUAGAGUUUGGACCGAAAAAGAAAUAUGUUAUUCAUAUUUGAGAGCGAUCGGGUGUAAGGCAUUGAUGCACUUACCUAAUGAAUAAAUAUUCAAGUUGGAUGAGAAAGUACUCCUAUGUAUCUUUUUAGGGUACCUAGAUGAAGAGUCUGACUACAUCCUAUGAGAUCCUGAGAAUAGGAAGGUGAACAUGAGUAGGGGUGUGGUCUUUCAAAAAGAUCUUGUCAUUGAAGAUGUGAAUAAGUCAAAAAAGGCAUGAAUCUUAAUAAUUCAGAACCGGUCAUAGUUCCUCUUACUGUAGUACAUGAAGAAAGGGGAGAAAUGCAAUAAGAAGAUGGGUGGUUCUAAGAGUUUGACAUGCUAGUUCCAAGUGAUGUGGAGCAGUGGGAGCAGCUUGUUCAAGAACUGCCACCUACAGUUGAACUAAGAAGGUCUUCUAGGAGACAUAAACCCUCUGUCAGAUACCCUGCAUCAAAGUAUAUCCUAUAAAUUGAAGGGGUAAACCAAAAAGCAAUUAGGAAGCUUAAGCUGAUGAACACAAAGAGAAGUUGGUUAAAUUAAUGAAAGAGGAGAUGAAAUCCUUAUAAGAACCACACCUAUGAAAUUGUAAAGUUGUCUAAAGGUAAGAAGGCAUUGAAGAAUAAGUGGGUCUCUGGCUGAAGACUGAAAAAACAAGCUUACAACCAAGGUAGAGGUCUAGGUUGGUUGUGAAAGGCUUCAAGCAAAAGAAGGGCAUCGAUUUUGAUGAACUCAUUUCUCACGUGGUGAAAAUGUCAUCAAUUUACAUGGUGUUAAGCCUGGUUGCAAGCUUGAAUCUUGAGAUAUAGCAGCUUAAGACUGUCUUUCUCCAUGGUGAUUUGAAGGAAGAGAUAUAUACGGGGAAACUAGAAGGAUUUAAGUUAAAAAGAAUGAAGCGGAUGGUUUACAAGCAGAAGAAAAGCCUAUACAGGUAGAAACAGGCCCCAUGGUAGCAGUACAAGAAGUUUGAUUCCUUUAUGGGGAGUCAUAGGUAUAAGAGGAUAGCCUCAAACCAUUAUGUGGUCAUCAAGAAGUUCUCUAAUGGAAACUAUAAUAUUUACCUUAUGUUGAUGAAAUGUUGAUUGCCAGUCCGGACAUCAGCAAGAUUGACAGGUUGAAUGAAGAGUUGAGUAAUACCUUUACCAUGUAUAAACAAGGCAAAACAUAUCGGUUCCCCACUUGGAAGCCACUUCAAGUUAAGUGCCCAGUAGAGCACUUCAAAUGAUAAUGAGAAUGAGAAAAUGCAAAAUGUUCCCUUCGUGUCGGUUGUAGGAAGUUUGAUGUAUGUCAUAGUAUGUACGAAGCCUGAUAUUGAACACACAAUUGGUGUGGUGACAAGAUUUAUCACUAAUCUUGGUAAGGAACAUUGAGCAACAGUUAAGCAGAUAUUCAAAUAUCUCAGAGAAAAAUCCAAAGUAUAUUUGAUCAUGGGGGAGGUAAACUUGUGUUACCAGGGUACUCAGAUACAUAUAUCUCCAGGAAGUCAACCUUGGGAUACCUAUUUAAUUUUACAAAGGGAGCUAUUUCAUGGCAAUCUAAGAGGUAGAAGUGUGUGGCUCUUUUGAUCACAGAGGCAGAGUAUAUUGCAAUUACAUAAUUUUGCAAGUAGAUUAUAUGGAUGAAGAGAUUCCUUCAAGAGUUGGCUUGAAACAUGUCACGUGUAUCGUCCACUAUGACAAUCAAAGUGAUAUUCAUUUGGGCGAGAAUGUUAGCUUCCAUUCUAAAAUGAAGCACAUUGGUGUGCGUUAUAAUUGAAUUUGGUAUGCCUUGAAGAAAUAGAAGUUAUUGCAAUUAAAUAAAAUUCUCCAGAUAUAAUGACAAAAACCUCGGCCAGAGACAUGCAAGACUUAUGUAGAUUGCAUGGGGGCAAUCUAAGCACCUUGUUAUCAACAAAUGAGAUCCGCCUUCAUGGGACAUGAGAGAGGGAUUAUUAGCGUGUCUUGUCCCAUGUGCAAAGGACCCUAAGGUCAAUACCCCAAUAGAGUGGGAUUUAUGGGAAUAACACAAUGACUUGCAUCGUUUUUAAAAAAAAUGUUAAAGGAAAUUUCAUUGAGAGAAUGAGAAAUACAAAAACAUGUAGCAUAUUUAAAAAAAAAAAACGUUAAAGGUAAUUUCAUUGAGAGAAUGAGAAAUUACAAAGAAAUGAACCAAAAAGGGAAAAUUAAUAAUAAAAAAUAAAAAUAUAAGAACAUAGAAGAAGAAGGAAAGUGAGGACAGGAGAGAAAGAAAUAGAGGGAGGGAGAAAAGAAGCACUAAGAAGACCCUAGUUUCGCAAGAGCAUCAACAUCGCCAUUUCUUUCUCUAUUGAUGUAACUGAAGCGGACCUCUUAGGCCAAUAUUUCCAUGCAGAUUUCAUCCAAAAUUGGGGACCAUUGCCAAGGAAUUGAGGACGGGUGCGAACAUCACUUGAUCACAUUAGCCAAAUCACCCUCAAUAAUGAUAUGAUUAUGAUGACUCCUGAGCCGAGAGACCCCUUCCUUGACUGCCGUUAAUUCAGCCUCAUUAAUGUCACCACAGGCCAAUUCCCCUAAGAACGAAAAGCUAAUGUUCCCAUCACGGUUUCUUAGAUUACCACCAAAGCCAGCUUUAUGAGUUUCAUGUCUAACACGACCAUUGGAGUUUAACUUCAACCACCCCAGUGGGGGGAGGUAGCCAGAGCGAAAGCUUGAUAACUCUAUGUUGCCGAUGAUUGAGAAGGUCUACAAAAUUGGUGAAGAAGGAUUCUUUGGGGUAGUAUUUGAGACAUAGACAAGCCUAGGCCCAAAGAAUAGUGAGUUUCAUAAUUUUCUUAUGGAGAUUAUCCUUAUCAUUAGAAACACCAUAACAAAUUCACCGAUUUCUCUUUCCAUAAAGACCACCAAAGCACAAUUGCACAAAGAAUGCACCAAAGGUGGAUCCCAACUUUGGAGAAAGAGGGAUUGAGUACAUAAGCGAAGAAACCUUGAAUAUUUCUUGGCAUGGUCCAUCAUUAAUUGGAGAUUGUAGAAACCCAAUUCCAGAAAAAGGUAGCAAAUGGACAUUGAAGAAAUAAAUGAUGACAAUCCUCAGUUGCUAGAUUACAAAGAAAGAAUAUAUUAACCAGUAUCAUUCAUUUUUUUCUUUAGCUGGUCUCCUGUAACACCCUACCUUGUUCCAGCAACCAUAAGAAAGCUUUGACCCUUUUAGGGGCCUUAAUCAUCCAAACCUUAGUAUAUUUGUUGCUCAUAUCAAAGAUCCUAUCAUUACUAACUUCCUGGUACAAUGACUUAACCAAGAAACUACCACUAGGUGUAAGAUUCCAAUCUAAGGAGUCCUCUCUGAAAGGGAAAAAACGUAAUGAAGUAAAUUGUUGCAUCAAUGCUAGAAAUUGUCUUUCUGUGGCCUCAUCAAUCCUUCUAACCUUAAUAUUAACCUUACAUGAACAGUUAAGACGUUCACCUUCAACCAUCUCCGAGAUCGUCGCAUGUUUGGCAUCAGCCCAAUGAAAAACUUCAAAAAAUAGAAUCUUUAAAGGAACAUCUCCUAGCUGUUUCCCAAACCAAAAUUUUGUUUUGUCUCCAAUCCCCACUAUCACCCUACUGCACACAAGAAAAGAGAUCUAACUAAUUUGAUCCCUUUCCAUAUCAUAGAAAGCAGAUCGAUUGCUAGUGAGUUUUUUGGGAUAAAAACCAAACAUUUCAGUGCCAUACUUAGCAAAAACAACCUCCUGUCAUUGAAGACGUGGUUCCAAAUACAAUUUCCACCACCACUUCGUGAGAAAGGCAUCAUUCGUAUGCCUAAGUCUUUAGAUACCUAAACCUCCCUUAGCCUUAGGUGUGCAUACUUUAUCUCAUCAAACUAGAUUGUGCUUUUUAGACAUAGAUGGACUACUCCAUAGAAAAUUUCUCGUCAAUGAUUCCAACUUCUUGAGCAUCGAGACAAGUGCCCUGAAAAUGGACAUAAAAUAAAUAUGAGUAUUGGGAAGAGUUGAAUUAAUGAGGGUAACUCUAUCACCAAGAGAUAGGCGCUUGCUCUUCUGCUCAUCAAGCUUUUAUCCAAAUCUCUUCACAAUAGGAUCUCAAGCUGAUCUAAGGUGUCUGCCAUUAGCCAAAGGGACACCAAGAUAUUGUGUAGGGAGCUCUUUUAUAUCACAUUGUAACCAAGCGGCCCAUCUCUCUAGAUCUAUAAGGGCACAUUAAUCUCAACAAGUUUUGAUUUAUGAAGAUUGACUUUCGCACCAAAGAUCAACUCAUAGCACUUAAGAAAAAACCAGAUGUUUUUCACUUGAUACAGAGAAGCCAAAUUAAGUAGAAGAGUAUCAUUUGCAUAUUGCAAAUGAGUAAAAGGAACCUCACAACCAUGAAUUCUCAAGCCAUCAAAAAUACCAACCCUCGAAGCUGAAUUCAACAUAAGACUGAAGGAUUCCCCUACCGAUGUAUAAAUAAAAGAUAAUAAAGGAUUCCCUUGUCGAAAUCCCGUGGAAGCAUGGAAGUAUCCACACACUUUGAUAAUGAGGAGCACAAAGAAAUGGGUAGAAGAUAAACAACCUUUUAUCCAUUUUCUUCAAAUAAGACCAAAGCCCAUAAGUUUGAGAAUAUCAUCCAAAAAAUUCAACUCAACUCAGUCAUAAGCUUUUUCAAAAUCAAGUUUGUAUAGAAUACCCUUAGUACCUUCGAGUCUGGUGGAAUGAAUCACUUCUUGAGCAACAAGAAGACCAACCGUCGAAGCUGAAUUCAAUAUAAGUCUAAAGGAUUCCCCUACCAAAGUAUUAAGAAAAGACGGUAAAACAUUCCCUUAUCGAAGACCCCAAGAUACAUAGAAGUACCACACACUUUACCAUUGAUGAUCACAGAGAAAUGGGUUGAACAUUAACAACUUUUUAUCCAUUUUCUCCAAAUAUGACCAAAGCCUAUAAGUCUGAGAAUAUCAUCCAAAAAUUCCGUUCAACUCAAUCAUAGGCUUUUUCAAAAUCAAGUUUGCAUAGAAUACCCUUAGUGCCUUCAAGUCUGGUGGAAUAAAUCACUUCUUGAGCCACAAGAAUACUGUCAGUAAUCUGUCUUCCUUUAAUGAAAGCAGAUUGGGGUCCUUGAAUCACCAAAGAGUUGAAGUUUUUGAGUUUAUUUGCUAGAACUUUUGUGAGAAUAUUGUAACAAGAAAUCAACAAACUAAUAGAUCUGUGAUCCUGAAGUGCUUCUAAAUUCUGCUAUUUAAGAAUCAAUGAUAUGAAGGUAGAGUUAAGAGUUUAUUGAUUGUGCCAUUUGAAUGGAAUUUUGAAAAAAAAACAUAGAAAAUAGUCUUUCACAAUAUCCCAAAACUCUCGAAAGAAGGCCAUCUGGAAUCCAUCUCAUCCAGGAGCUUUGUCUCUAGGUACGAAGAACACAACAUCCUUAAUUUCUUCAAUGGCGAAGGGAGCCUCAAGAUCACAUGCUUUGUCAGAAUCUAGCAUCUUAAAAGGUACUCCCACCAAAGAAAAAGGAAGUCUAGGUUGAGAAGUGAAAGCCUUUCUACCUAUCUUCCCUAUUGCCAAGGUAUGAAAGUACUUCGUAUUAUUGUCUCCCUCUAUGGACUAACGAGAUCUCGAUCUCUGACACCAAAAGAUCUCUUGAAGUCUCAAUUAAUCAUCUAGAGAAGCCUUCAGAGUAUCUCUUUGAAUUUUCUGCUCAACAGAUAAACCCUCGUGCAAUUGGUCCUUCUUAUUCAAGUCUGAAAUUUGAUUCUCAAUAAGAGAGACUCUGACAUUGAUUGAUCCAAAUUUCGUAUGAUAGGGCAUCAUUGGAGGUGGUUAUCAAAAGACAACUCGAACGUGUGAGACAUAUGGGUUUGUUAAGAAAAGAACAAAUCCCACAUAAAAUGGAUAACUACUACAUGAGAGGGGGCAGAGAUUUUGGAGAAACAAAAUCUCAUCCCAUAUAAAAAGGAAGCUUCACGUAGAGGCCAUGGUUGUCUCCUCCCAAAGUUUUAACAAGUUCCUCUUCCUGGUAUGUACGACGUCUUUUAUAAAGAGAAAUACAAAGAGGAUUCUUUUAGUUGGAAAAAGAAGAAGAGAGAGAAAGUGAUCCUUCUCUCCAAGAGAAGAAGAAGAGAGAGAUAGAGAAGUCUGUUAGAGAGAAAAAGAGGAGCACAUUUGAGUGAGAGAGAAGAACCUCAAAGAAGGGAAAACCUAGAGAUAAAAUCCUCCAGAAGAAGUCAAAGAGCCCAAGAAAGGCAAGAAAACUGGCUUCUUUGGUGAUUUUAUAACUAUUACUUUUAAUAGUGGAUCUGAUAUCUUUUUCCUGUGGUUGUAGCCAAAAAAGGUAACCCAUGUAAAUCUCAGUAUCUGUAAGUUAUUGUUUAUUUUAUUUGUUUUAUUGCAAUUAUUUUUUUCACCCAUACACACAAAUCUGAUGUUUUUGUCCUAUAAAUUUGAAUUCCGUUGCACGCAUCUGCAUCUUGACCAGGUGAACCCAACAAUAGAGAUAGAAAGGGUGAGUUGUUGUAGUCUUUUGGAGAUGUAUUUUAAAGAGAGAGAAAUCUUAUUCUAGGGCUUGUGAGAGAACUUGAAAACCCUUGUAAUUGUCUUGCUUACAAGGUAUUUUUCUUACUAGUGAAAAAGAAAUAUUGGUACGUCAUGAAUAUAGGUAGUCGUUGAAUCAUACAAAUCAUUGUGUUUUAUUGUUUUGCCUUUCUAGUUUCCACACAAUAUUUUCCCCUUUUUAUUUUUGCCCUCGAUUUUUAUGUUCUAUAUGUAACGAGUUCAUCAUUUUACAUCAUUUCUGACAAUUCAUCUAAACUUAGUUUUCAACAAUUUAAAUAGUACUCUCCAAUUCCAUCUUAGCAAGGACAAUUAGGAGCCAUUCCCUUUUUUGGUGAACUUUUUGAGGCCAUUUGUCUCUUCCAAGACAUCCCAUAAAAUAAUGAGGCCAUUAAAAUAAAAGUUACAUGAAAAUAUGUUUAUAAAAAACAUUUCUAGAUACAAAAAAAGGAAUUUAAAGACUUUAGGCCCCUUUUGAUCUACCACCAUUUUAUGAUUAGGUUUUAUCUGAGACUUAAUUGUAUUUUGGCUAAACACGAUUUGAUUUUUGUGUGUUUGGUGUUAUCUACAAUUUGAUGGAAACAUACAAUUUAGAGGUCCCCAAUUGUAAUUGAGCUGCAAAACUACUGGGUGUUUUUGUACUUCAACAAAAUACAUUUAGAGCACAGUGCUCUUUUUUCAAGAUUAAUUACUCUCUUUUUUUUUUUUUGGAAUGGUUUAAUUACUCACCGCCAUCUCUUUGCCUCCCACCACUACCAUCACUACCAGUGUCACCAUCCUGUUGUUGCUGUCACUAUACCUAAAGCAUCACUAUUGCAGAUCACUGCUACCUCUGCCAUUGCUAUCACUGCCACUACUACCAUUCACACCAUUACUACUCACUUUGCCACCUCGACCACCUAAACCAUCACCAUUGAACAUCACUUCCUCCACUCCACCGCUACCGCCUUCAUGCAGUGCUACUACCACCACUAUAGCAAUGCCACUACCACCACUCACACCAUUCCUAUCCACCCUACCACCACGACCACCUCAACCAUCACCAUUGCACAUCACUGCCUCCAGCGCUACCGCCUUCAUGCAGUGUCACUGCCACCACCACCACUACCACUAUGUAGGAUACUAAUCUAGGUGAAAACAAUCAACACACCAUAAUUGAAAGCAAUGCAAAAUCUAGUUUAAAGCAGAGCAAUCAAACAGCGCGUCUUAAAGGAACCAUUACUUGUCAAGUUGCUAAUUUGAAUCGGGGAAAGUGCUUUGUGCGUCAAGGGACACAAUUCUACAUUUGUAUCUAUUGACGUAUCACACAUCCAUUCCCAAGAUGUAUGUGAAAAUAGAGGUAGGAAUUGGGUUGAGUUUGGAUCCAUUUGUAUCUACUGACUAGGUCCAAAUCUGGGCCCAGCCUUUGGACCCAAUGGGUCGAGUUUGGGUCCAUUUGACAUUGAUCCGAUUAGGAUGGGGUCUGAAUCUAAGUCCAGCUUAGACCUUGUCAGGUCAGAUCUAGGUCAAUGUCAACCAGACCCGAAUGGGUAUACAUUAGUAGAAAAUACAAUUAAAUUGUAAAAUAUAUAUUAUGCUUCUAUUUUUUUUAUUUAUACACUACUCGACCCAGUGGGUCAGGUCUAGUUCCGAUUGACGUGGACCCAACCCAAGUCUGGGUCAGGUCUGGUUCCAACUCAUAACUAGUAGGGUCGGGUCUAGGUCCAGGUCUGGGUUCACCCAACCUAUUCCCAACCUUAGUGAAGAAGUGUUAGUCCUACAUGAAAAUAAAAUUGAUGAUCUAAGUCUAUUCUUAAAAAAAAUCAUUUUAAAAUUUUGAAAUUUAUUUAUUUUUGAAUUCUAAUGCUCCCCAUGUUAAAAAUUAUAUAUUCCAAAAAAAAUUAAGGUCAAAGUCCAUCUCAAAAAUAGAAUAUAUAUAUAUAUAUAUAUAUAUAUAUAUAUAUAUAUAGAGAGAGAGACUAACUAACUACUACGUAGGAAGAAGUAAGAACGUAGUUACUUACUACUAGUACGACGUCGACGCGGUCCGGUCGUUUACGNNNNNNNNNNNNNNNNNNNNNNNNNNNNNNNNNNNNNNNNNNNNNNNNNNNNNNNNNNNNNNNNNNNNNNNNNNNNNNNNNNNNNNNNNNNNNNNNNNNNNNNNNNNNNNNNNNNNNNNNNNNNNNNNNNNNNNNNNNNNNNNNNNNNNNNNNNNNNNNNNNNNNNNNNNNNNNNNNNNNNNNNNNNNNNNNNNNNNNNNNNNNNNNNNNNNNNNNNNNNNNNNNNNNNNNNNNNNNNNNNNNNNNNNNNNNNNNNNNNNNNNNNNNNNNNNNNNNNNNNNNNNNNNNNNNNNNNNNNNNNNNNNNNNNNNNNNNNNNNNNNNNNNNNNNNNNNNNNNNNNNNNNNNNNNNNNNNNNNNNNNNNNNNNNNNNNNNNNNNNNNNNNNNNNNNNNNNNNNNNNNNNNNNNNNNNNNNNNNNNNNNNNNNNNNNNNNNNNNNNNNNNNNNNNNNNNNNNNNNNNNNNNNNNNNNNNNNNNNNNNNNCUUACCCUCGUGUGCCGUUGCCUCCCACCGACUAGACAUGUCUGUGUACGGGGACGGGAACUAACUAGUAGUAAUUACGUCCUAUAGGCUAUUUAAGUACUAUAUAUAUAUAUAUAUAUAGAGAGAGAGAAAGAGAGAGAGAGAGGAAAAAGUUUAUAUAAGGAUGUAACCUUAUAAUGUAGAUCUACGGUUGCCCUUCAAAAAUCCAUCGGAAAAGGUAGUUUUAAUAUUGAAAAACCCUUUGAUUGAUCAUCUCGACAUCGAGAUGUAUGACUAUGAAAAAUAAAAAGAAUUCAAGUUUCAGAAAUAAUGCAUUUUACAACAUAUUAUCAACACCGUCCAUUUUUAAAAUUUCCAUAUGUUUAUAGAUCUACUUGAUUUUAAUCAUUUUUUAAAUUUAAAAUUUUAUAAAUAGAUAUAAAAAUAGAUUUUAAGAUAAUUCUAAUAAUAUUUUACAUCAAAAAUAUGUACCUUAAUAAAAUUUGAAGGUGCACCUUACCUCUGCACAUAGCCUCUAAAUCCAACACGUUGCAAUUUGAUUUGGCUUAAUAAAAUUUGGUGCAUUACCUCUGCACAUAGACUCUAAAUCCAACACGUCGCAAUUUGAUUUGGUUUUACAUAUUUUUUUUAGGCUAUUAUUUAGAUAGAAUGAAUAUAAAUGUUAAAUUGAGCUUCUAAUACAAGGAACCUCAUGCAUGGUGUUUUAUGGACAGCUGUUCCCAUUAGAAUUUGGAAGUGUCUAAUUAUUUGGGCAAACAGAAGGCCAUCUCAUCAUUCCAAACAAAAGGAGUAAAUAAACAAUAAGCAAUCUCAUCAAAAUUCUAUAUAUUCCUUGGGGGAAUAAUAAGUCAACUCAGUAUGUGAAUAAAAACCGGACACUAAUAUGUGAAUUCAAACAUUUAUUGAUUUGCUUCUACUUAUCUAUCAUGAUAGUGAAGGGUAUUUCGUCUUGUUCCAAUCAAAAUUUUGGAUCCAUUGUUGUCUAUCCCACACGUUCCGCUAACUGGUUUCUUUAUUCAAAGCUUUAUAUCCCUCUCUCUAUCUCAGCCACGACUCUAAAAACGCAAUCAUUGUUAUAGACUGUGGAACAUGUUUUUAAGUUGGGCGGUUCCUGACAUGAUUGUUUCUUUCCCCAUUGAUGAGUUUUUAUAUGACUCGUUUUUCAUCCUUACCACGCGUCACGAUAGAGUGGGCACUUUUGCUUUGGUGGGGUACAUGCCACUAUAUUGGGCGUCUUGACUGUUGGGUUUAUGUGGCAUUUAAAGGCCUUAUGAGUGCUUCUAAAAUGAAAUAAUGUAAUGGAACAUGAACUCAGUGGGAGUGUGAUCCCUCAUGGACCAUUCCAUGCAAACGAUGUUUGCAGAUACCGGACUGUGUUUGACAAUCUAGGCCAGUCAGUUGGGAAAAACCCAUGUUACCUGGGCAUGAAGAGCAAACUAAAGAGGGUUCAUGGGUUAGCUCUUGAGGAGGUCGAAAAAUAUGCCCGGAUGAGUGAGUCGAGGGACUGUGUGACCGUUGUGUGUGAUGGUAGCCUACAGAGAUUGGAGUCAAAACCUCAUCCAUGUACCAUCACACGGCAUGCUAUCGAUAUAUCGUUCGGGAAAGCCAGAAAUCCACUUUUUAGGGUGAAACGUAUGCAUGUGUGAGAAAUCCCCCUAUGCGCCAUAGAGCUGUGGUCUCAUCAGGUCUUGGUGACCUAGACUUGUCUCUAGGGGAGGACCUGUAAUCCACAGACUGGGAUUGCUACCCCUUGGCUCACCAGCUAGACUUUGGUGACCCACUAUUAAGCCCCUGCUUGGACGAUGGGUCAUGGGAAAUAUUGGGGCGGUCUGAUAAAGCAAAUGUAGUUCGUAGUCCACAGUUGAAGAUAGAGUGCCUCCAUGAUUGUUGAUUCGAAUCUUAAAUCAUAAGGAUCUAUUUCCCAUCAAAUUAAUUUAAUUGUGUUAAUUUAAUUUUGGAUAUUUUAUUUAUAAUUACGUUAAUUUAAUUUUGAAUAUUUUAUUUAUAAUUUUUGGAUUUAUAAAAUUAAAGAUAUUGAUUUUACAAUAUUUUAAUAUUCACUAGAAAUUAUUUUGUUAAUUUUAAAUACAUAAAAAAAUAAUAAUCAUGGGGCCCAUUGUGCACAUGGGCCUACCAUGUUUCUAGAAGGUGGGGCCCACAUGUGCCUCCCAUAGGUGGCACGCCCCACCUCUUACUACUUUCUAUUUUAUGGAAAGUUUUAUUUUUUGGUCCACGUGACUUUAUGUUUUGGUAACUUUAAAUUGUGACAUGUGGUCAAAUUAUGGAUUGAUAUGUAUUGACCAUAUAUUAACUUAAUAUAAAAUUAGAUAUUGACUUGAUAAAUCUUUGAUAGAUUUUAUGGAAAAUAUGUGUAGAGAUGUGCUAUUUUAUAGAAUGCACAAUAUUUAGUUAAAAUUAUUUUCUAUUGAUGAAAAUUAGUUUAGGAAAAGGGGAUAAGGGUUCAUGCAUCUUCUAUAAUGUUGAUGACCCAUCUAUGGAAUGAAUGGCUCAAAUCUCUCACCCCACAAGUCACCCAGGAUCAAUGGUUCAUAUUCAAUCUCACAAGAAGAGGAAAGCCAAAGAAAACCUUAAGAAACCCUAUCUUGUUCAAAGCUUAUAAAAAAAUGAUUGUCUCUACCCAAAAAUCUCACCUUAUUCCAUAUUUCUCUCUCAUAUUCCACUUAGAAUUUCUCUUUCUCUCUUAAGAAAAUUUUCUCUCUCUCCCACAUUGUGAAAGAAUUUAAGGGUUUAGGUUAUAGAGUUCAUCUCUCUCCUAUCUUUCAACUACGGAUUUAUAACUAAGGAUUUUAGGGUUUGAGUUUAUGAUCAAAGGGGUUCCUAUUCCAUUGUGUGGCUUAACCAAAAUUUGUUUUCCAGGAUUGAGAUUGAAGGUUGAUCAUUGAUCCCGCGCCAUCGGAUGGUGGUGACUUGGUGUGGUAUGUAAUAAGGCCGGUUGAGGUAAUCUCCG
rnacentral:lncRNA from 1 species